GAUGAACGCUGGCGGCGUGCCUAAUACAUGCAAGUCGAGCGAAUGGAUUAAGAGCUUGCUCUUAUGAAGUUAGCGGCGGACGGGUGAGUAACACGUGGGUAACCUGCCCAUAAGACUGGGAUAACUCCGGGAAACCGGGGCUAAUACCGGAUAAUAUUUUGAACUGCAUGGUUCAACAUUGAAAGGCGGCUUCGGCUGUCACUUACGGAUGGACCCGCGUCGCAUUAGCUAGUUGGGGAGGUAACGGCUCACCAAGGCAACGAUGCGUAGCCGACCUGGGAGGGUGAUCGGCCACACUGGGACUGAGACACGGCCCAGACUCCUACGGGAGGCAGCAGUAGGGAAUCUUCCGCAAUGGACGAAAGUCUGACGGAGCAACGCCGCGUGAGUGAUGAAGGCUUUCGGGUCGUAAAACUCUGUUGUUAGGGAAGAACAAGUGCUAGUUGAAUAAGCUGGCACCUUGACGGUACCUAACCAGAAAGCCACGGCUAACUACGUGCCAGCAGCCGCCGUAA
rnacentral:rRNA from 1 species